UACGUAGGGUGCAAGCAUUAAUCGGAUUUAUUGGGCGUAAAGGGCGCGUAGGCGGGAAGGUAAGUUAGAUGUGAAAUCCCGAGGCUCAACCUCGGACACGCAUCUAAUACUAUCUUUCUAGAGGAUGAGCGGAGAAAAUGGAAUUCCACGUGUAGCGGUGAAAUGCGUAGAUAUGUGGAGGAACACCGGUGGCGAAGGCGAUUUUCUAGCUUAGACCUGACGCUGAGGCGCGAAAGUAAGGGGAGCAAACAGG
rnacentral:rRNA from 1 species